rnacentral:lncRNA from 1 species
GAAAUUUUUGAGUGUCAGCAAUACCACAAGAUCCCUACAGAUACAGAGAAUAUGUAUUUCUGUGUAACUUUUAUUUAGGAAGAGAUUUGCCAGAAGAAGGGUUUGGUUUCUUAUUAUUUAUUUAUAUCUGAAUGGUGUCAAAUGAGAACACAGAAUUCGGUUUAUGGGACUAAAGACCUUGCUGGGGUCUUUCCUAAAGCCCCAUCUCAGACGGCAGAUUCAGCAGCCUCACAGGUGAUCCCAGAAAGCUAUACUCAGUUCUAUUCCAACCACCAGGGCAGAGCUUUAAACCUCACCAAGAAAGCCACCAGCAGCUGCUUAAUAUCAUGAUGAUUAUUCUGCUGAUGAGAUCACUUCAGGAGGCAGGUUACCACACAUUUUGGCUAUAGUCACUAAGGGAAGAUAUUAGAACAGCAGAACUCCUCUGAGAAAAUAAGAGGCUUAGGACUCAUCCACACAGGGGACAAUGCAGGACAAUCCAUCUGCCAAGCUUUCCUUUACUACUUUCCUUUGUGGAAGUCCCUGAAAGCUGAAAGACCUAGAGAAAAGUCUGAAGAAAUGAAGUCAUGACGGGACCCCACUCAUUUGUUCUUCUGCUUGUCCAAGAGAAAACAGCAGCCACUGGCUCCAGCUGCAGUCACAUUCAUGUAGCAUGUCAGCAUGGCAAGGCUCAGAAAUACCAAAAUUGGACUUCAGAAGACUAUAAAAAGCUCCCUGCUAACACAACAACAUGCAAAUGGACUGUCACACUUGUGAUCUUGGACAGCAACAAAAUUAGAAGGCAACAGCAAACAACAAAGAAAAUUGCAGCUGAAAAAUAGCAACAUUAUCCUCUUUUAAUACAUAUUGUUAAAACGAACAUUUUUAAAAGCUGAAAAGAUGUGAGCCCAGAUGCUAUUGCCGUAUGUCUUAUGCAGUCCAUGAUUACGAACAAACAACAGAAUAUGUAUAAGGGAAUCUAAAAUGGUAUGGAGAUGAGCCCAGCUGGUGUCCCCAUAUGCCUUAUGAAUUCUUCUUUUAGGAACACAGCAGCAUAUAGCAUUAGAGAUGCUUAUCUUAUUUAUAAAUAGAGGGGAGCUGUUUCACCGAAGUACAUAUAGAAAGGUCCCUAACGAUCAUGAAGACAAAAUGUUCACAAUGAUCAUAGAAACAGAUGCAUUCAAACUAACC